AUGACGCCGCAACCACUGGCCUCGAGCAUCCUCUCCUCCCCAUCGAUUGUUUUUUGCUUUUUCAGAUUUCACUUGGGCACAUCGCUGCAGUUCUGUUGGGGCAUCGGUGCAGUGCGGCUGGAUGUCCAGUCCAUCGGUGAUCGUGCUUGCAGUUUGGUGGCACGAGGCUCGUGGUCAGAUGUGCAGUGUAGUGCUAUUAGCCCUUCCGCACUGCAGUUCGCCGGCAGAUGUGUUGACCAUCCAAGAUCAACUGCACCCCAUCCCCCCGCCGGCGCCAUGCAGUCCAGUACGUGGGGGCACGCAGCACGCCCCACCGUUGCCUUGCAGUCCAAAGUCCGGAUUUCUUGCUGUUGCGUUGCGUGCAACGACAAGGAGAAGUCCGGAUUCAUCAGCCUCGUCUCCCGCUACCUGAGUGUGGCAGGGCGGCGGAUGCAGUGCGGCAGGGCGGCGCUUGCAGUGCGGCACUCACAGCCGAGCAGCAAACCCACUGAACCUAUCGAGUAG
rnacentral:rRNA from 1 species